AACGCACCUUGCGCCCCUUGGUAUUCCGAGGGGCACACCCGUUUGAGUGUCGUGAAAAUCUCAACCUCCUCGGUUUCUUCUGGACGCCGAAGGAGGCUUGGACUUUGGAGGCCUUUGCUGGCGUCUCUCGCCAGCUCCUCUCAAAUGAAUUAGCGGGGUCCUCUUUGCCGAUCCUCGACGUGUGAUAAGAUGUUUCCAUGUCUUGGUUUCUGGCUCUGUCGCCUUUGGGACCCGCUUCUAACCGUCUCAAGUCGAGACAACGUUUGAGCGUGUCUCCCUUCUCGGGAAACACCCUCGAGCCCACGAACCCUUGACCUCAAAUCGGGUGAGACUACCCGCUGAACUUAA
rnacentral:ncRNA from 3 species